UGACAACCAAGAAUAGCCAUCAUACUUACAUUUUAAAAACAAUAACAGCAGCAGCAGCAACAACAACAAAACCCUUCUUGUAAAGAGGUUGUGAGAGGAAGCUUGAUGUCCACUACUUGUUAUUCUAAAAGAUGUUUUAAAUCAUAACAUCUUAAUGAAACAUUUUGAAUGAUGUUUAAUUAGAUUUUUUUUUAAGUUUGUGAACUACAAGCAGCUAAGGGAUGCUGUGAGAGAAAUAGUUUUCCCCAGAGAAGAGCAUACUAAUUGAUAAUCCAAUAUGGUCAGCACUGAGAACAUAUGCAUACAAGUAGCAUAUGGACUGAGAAGGUUGUAUUUAUAGUAUUUAGGAGUGUGUGUGUGUGUGUGUGUGUGUGUGUGUGUGUGUGUGUGCACGCCCAGAGUAAAGGCGUGGGAUAGGAGAAAUGGCAAAAUGAGAAACUGAGAGCAGCACGUCACGUCCUUGGAUACGUUUUUAAUGAUUGUUUUUUUUAAAGGCUUCCCCUUGUUUCCUGAUUGACAUACUGCUCCAUCCUUUAUGUUACCUAAGGAGAUAAAAAGGGUCGUUGUUGGGUCUCUAGUAUGUCACAUAUCUUAGGGAAAUGGAUGUGCUUCUUCUAAAGAUGUGGGUUUUCCGUGUCCAGUCCCCUGGGAGUCCCCGGGCCUUCUCUGCACUCUGUGUUCAGCUCUGGUGUGAACUGCCCGAUGCUUUGCAUGUGUGCUACGGCAAAUACCAUGUGUGUAUGGUAAAAGGUGUAACCAGUUUCUGGAUCUGUAUGGUACUUCGAGAUUCUUCUUUUAUGAUUCUGUGACUGCGUGGCAGAGUUAUGCCACACGAGUCUAAAGAGCAAUAGUUUCUGUUGCUAACUGCUGUAUAUUGUUUCUGAAUAAUAUAUUUAGACUUCCUUUAGAUUGUUAUUUUUUAAUAACUACUGUGUUUAAUAACUAUUACACCCUGUAAAUUAAUAAAAGCCAGUUAACCUGAGGAACACUUUAGUAUUGUGCUGGAGUACACUGUGUUGAUUCUGCAUGAUUAAAAUAUUUUUAAAGAGCUAGGAAAAAAGACGUGCUGUUUUCCAAUGACUAAGUGUAAUUUUUUAAUGCUUAACAUCUAAGAUUAUCUCCCUUAUCUUUGAAAAUAAAUAUUUUACUAUGAAGGGUAAAA